rnacentral:ncRNA from 12 species
CGGCACGAAGUGUGCGGUAGUGGAAACACCCGCAAAGUUUUAGCGUAUGUAAACUUGAACAACACUUCCGUGCCUUU